rnacentral:rRNA from 1 species
CCUACGGGUGGCAGCAGUAGGGAAUAUUGCUCAAUGGGGGAAACCCUGAAGCAGCAACGCCGCGUGGAGGAUGAAGGUUUUCGGAUUGUAAACCUCUGUCAGCAGGGAAGAACGGUCACUGUGCUAAUCAGCAGUGAAUUGACGGUACCUGCAAAGGAAGCACCGGCUAACUCCGUGCCAGCAGCCGCGGUAAUACGGAGGGUGCGAGCGUUAAUCGGAAUUACUGGGCGUAAAGCGCUCGUAGGCGGUAUGUCAAGUCAAGGGUGAAAUCCCCGCGCUCAACGUGGGAACUGCCUUUGAAACUGGCAAACUGGAGUGUGUGAGAGGAUAGUGGAAUUCCAGGGGUAGGAGUGAAAUCCGUAGAUAUCUGGAGGAACAUCAGUGGCGAAGGCGACUAUCUGGCACAUAACUGACGCUGAGGAGCGAAAGCGUGGGUAGCAAACAGGAUUAGAUACCCGAGUAGUC